CUUCCUGAGGUAAGGUAUUGCUUCAAAUGCCCAAGCCUAAAAAUAUAAAGAUGAUGAAAAUAAAAAUUUAAAAUAAUUAUUCAAUAAUACAAAUAAAUAAAAUACUAAAAUUAGAGGUGAAGUUUACCAUGAAAGCCCAAGGAAAGCCAUAUAAAUUGUUCGUCUUCGAUGAUAACUUUGACAACAAAUAUUCGACAAUCAAGAAAUAGCUUUCAUUACCCCAUGGGUAAUUGUUGAAUGCAUCCAAAUCAUGAGCAAGCACAAAAUAAUCUCACAUAGCAAACUAUAUACACUUCACAAGUUGGUUUUGACACUUCCUACACUUAGAAGCCAGUCAAGAAAAUAGUUCAUACUCCCAAAAUAAUCUAAACCAAAAGGGCACACUAUAGUUUAUAUUCUCAAAAUAAUCUAAACUAACAGCCUAUGCCAAUAUACAAAAUUAAGAUACCAUGCCAAAAAUCAAGUUCAUUUCUAACUUAAUUUCUUGCCGCAAUGUUGUUUAAGCGAACAUAACCAAGUGAUAAAAUCACCAAAAUUGAGAUCCAAUUACCCUUUUGUGUCAAAUAGAUUAAAAAGGGAAAAUAAAUGUGUAUUCAUCAAAACAAUCCAUAGCUUAACAAAAAUAAGCUAAGUCAUUUCAUUCCCAAUCAAAACACCGAAAAUACAUAUCCCACUACCUUUUAUGUAAAAUAGCUUAAUACUA
rnacentral:lncRNA from 1 species